UCCCUGCUCCCUCCCCCUCUUUUCAGCAUGUUUUAGCUUGCUACACCUAAUGAGGAGAUUGAGAUACUCCCAAGCUGCCAUCUUGGACUGUGCAGGUGACCUUGAAGAUGGAACCCCCUUUGUGUUGGCUAAGAUGUUGAGGAAAAAGGAAGAAACUUGGAGUCUGAUGACUAUGGAGCCACCGUACCAGCCCUCAAUUGCCUAGCUCUAGAUUCCUUUCAUGUGAGAGAGAAAUAAAAUGCUCUUGUUUCAGCCA